UAAAGAGAUGAAAAUGCCACCUGACAUUAAACUUUACAAACACAAAUGGCACAAAAGACAGCAAAACCAGCUAACAGCCUAAUGUUAAAUGAGAGUUUCAGUUUGCUUUUGCUGGGAGUUUA